rnacentral:sRNA from 1 species
CCAUUGCGUCACAGCGACCCAACCUCCAAGCUCGGGGCCGGGAUUGUUCGCGUUCACGACCGGCUGGAAGACGGCGGCGGAAGGUGCGGGCGGAGAUGGGAUGAUCAGCCACAGUAUCCCGGAAUCGAACCGUUUAUUCUGCGACCGGCGGUAGGCGGAAAUCUCGGCCUACGAAACCUAAGAUAACUAGCCGAGGGUGGUGACAAAGAAGGGUGCCCGAUAUUUCAAUGUUCCUUUGCUGCCAGCAGUUCGCAGUUCAUAUCGGCAUGAUUAUUCCUUUUUCUUUUUUCCCCCCCGGCUGACAAAUGUGAGAGCAAGACAAGGAAUCAUCAAGG